rnacentral:rRNA from 1 species
UACAGAGGGUGCAAACGUUGCUCGGAAUCAUUGGGCGUAAAGCGCACGUAGGCGGCCAACUAAGUCGGACGUGAAAUCCCCAGGCUCAACCUGGGAACUGCGUCCGAUACUGGAUGGCUUGAAUCCGGGAGAGGGAUGCAGAAUUCCAGGUGUAGCGGUGAAAUGCGUAGAUAUCUGGAGGAAUACCGGUGGCGAAGGCGGCAUCCUGGACCGGCAUUGACGCUGAGGAGCGAAAGCCAGGGGAGCAAACGGG